CCUUCGAUAGCUCAGCUGGUAGAGCGGAGGACUGUAGAGGAUUCUACGUGUAGUCAUCCUUAGGUCGCUGGUUCGAUUCCGGCUCGAAGGA
rnacentral:tRNA from 1 species